rnacentral:rRNA from 1 species
CGGGGUGAGUAACGCGUGGGUAACCUGCCUUGUACUGGGGGACGAACAGUUGGAAACGACUGCUAAUACCGCAUAAGCGCACAGCUUCGCAUGAAGCAGUGUGAAAAACUCCGGUGGUACAAGAUGGACCCGCGUCUGAUUAGCUGGUUGGUGAGGUAACGGCCCACCAAGGCGACGAUCAGUAGCCGGCCUGAGAGGGUGAACGGCCACAUUGGGACUGAGACACGGCCCAA